GGUGCGGUAGUACAGCGGUUAGUGCAUUCGACUCCCGGCCCCUCG
rnacentral:tRNA from 1 species